CAAAAAUCAUUGUCCACCUAAUGCAUUAACUGAUAUUCAAAUUAUACAAACCUUUUCUUUUGGAAACAAAUUGGCAUUAUAAUAUUUAUACAAAAGGAAUUUACUGGAAUCUACAUGUCUAAGUGGUGGCUGAAUCGUGUAAAACUGAGCAUGUUGUUGCAUAAUUACAUUGCCCAGGGACAAAUAAGGAUGGCUCAUUAAGGCACCUGCUACAGUACCUUAUAUGAAAAAAUAUCUUUUAACGUUUUGGUUUAGGAUAUAAAAGUAAAUACUUCUUAACUACAUACGGGCACCCUGCUACAGUACCUUACACGAAAAAAUAUCUUUUAAUGUUUUGGUUUAGGAUAUAAAAGUAAAUACUUCUUAACUACAAACACUAACA
rnacentral:lncRNA from 1 species